rnacentral:rRNA from 1 species
UACGGGGGGAGCAAGCGUUGUUCGGAUUUACUGGGCGUAAAGGGCGCGUAGGCGGCGUGGUAAGUCACUUGUGAAAUCUCCGGGCUUAACUCGGAACGGUCAAGUGAUACUGCUGUGCUAGAGUGCGGAAGGGGCAACUGGAAUUCUCGGUGUAGCGGUGAAAUGCGUAGAUAAUCGAGAGGAACACCUGCGGCGAAGGCGGGUUGCUGGGCCGACACGUGACGCUGAAGCGCGAAAGCUAGGGGAGCGAACGGG